AAAGUCGUAACAAGGUAACCGUAGGUGAACCUGCGGUUGGAUCAUUAAAAAUUUCCAUUUAUGGAGGACUAACAGUCCACACACACCCUUGUGAACCACUGAAAUGUCUUUCGGCGAGUCGCGCGUCACUGUGAAAGUUCACUGGUUGUGCUCAACGCCGGGCUCUGAUUAACGUCAGGAGCGCAACCACUUGUGAACGAGUCUUCUUACUCUUCACUCACUGCACAUCUGUGCGAUGAGUAGGUUGAGUUGACUCUGGCCGCGAUUCGUCAAGCCUGGUUGAAAUACCACUAUAUUAUUUUUACUCUUCUGAACAAAAAACAAAGAAAAGAGUAGUUGACGCUCUUGAUUGAGUUGACAGCGAAAUUCUAUUUGAAAAAAUAAAUGAGAAACAACUUUAGACAACGGAUCUCUUGGCUCUC
rnacentral:misc_RNA from 1 species